rnacentral:rRNA from 1 species
GACGAACGCUGGCGGCGUGCUUAACACAUGCAAGUCGAACGGUGAAGGGACCAGCUUGCUGGUUCUGGAUGAGUGGCGAACGGGUGAGUAACACGUGAGUAACCUGCCCCCUUCUUCUGGAUAACCGCAUGAAAGUGUGGCUAAUACGGGAUAUUCUGGGUCUGUCGCAUGGUGGGCCCGGGAAAGAUAUUGCUUCGGUGGGGGAUGGGCUCGCGGCCUAUCAGCUUGUUGGUGGGGUGAUGGCCUACCAAGGCGGUGACGGGUAGCCGGCCUGAGAGGGUGGACGGUCACACUGGGACUGAGACACGGCCCAGACUCCUACGGGAGGCAGCAGUGGGGAAUAUUGCACAAUGGGCGCAAGCCUGAUGCAGCGACGCCGCGUGAGGGAUGGAGGCCUUCGGGUUGUAAACCUCUUUCGCCAGUGAAGCAGGCCUGCUCCUUGUGGGUGGGUUGACGGUAGCUGGAUAAGAAGCGCCGGCUAACUACGUG